GGUGGCUCAGUGGCAGAGCACUUGCCUCGCAUGCAAGAGGCCCUGGGUUCGAUUCCUCAGCACCA
rnacentral:tRNA from 1 species